UACGUAGGGGGCAAGCGUUGUCCGGAUUUAUUGGGCGUAAAGAGCGUGUAGGCGGCCAGGUAGGUCCGUUGUGAAAACUCGAGGCUCAACCUCGAGACGCCGAUGGAAACCAUCUGGCUAGAGUCCGGAAGAGGAGAGUGGAAUUCCCGGUGUAGUGGUGAAAUGCGUAGAGAUCGGGAAGAACACCAGUGGCGAAGGCGGUCUGCUGGGCCGUUGCUGACGCUGAGGCGCGACAGCGUGGGGAGCAAACAGG
rnacentral:rRNA from 1 species